GCGCAAUGAUGAACAAGAACUCUCUCACUGAAUGUCUGUGUUGUUCACCUACAUUAUCAGAGCGCA
rnacentral:snoRNA from 1 species